GAUGAAGAACGUAGCGAAAUGCGAUAAGUAAUGUGAAUUGCAGAAUUCAGUGAAUCAUCGAAUCUUUGAACGCACAUUGCGCCCGCCAGUAUUCUGGCGGGCAUGCCUGUUCGAGCGUCAUUACAACCCUCAGGCCCCCGGGCCUGGCGUUGGGGAUCGGCGGAAGCCCCCUGCGGGCACAACGCCGUCCCCCAAAUACAGUGGCGGUCCCGCCGCAGCUUCCAUUGCGUAGUAGCUAACACCUCGCAACUGGAGAGCGGCGCGGCCACGCCGUAAAACACCCAACUUCUGAAUGUUGACCUCGAAUCAGGUAGGAAUACCCGCUGAACUUAAGCAUAUCAAUAGCGGAGG
rnacentral:misc_RNA from 1 species